CAGAGACGCACAACCAUCCGCCCAAAUGACAUUAAUCUUUAUUUAUCGGGACCGUUUUAAUGAUCAUAAAUAUACUAAACAAAUACAUAUAUACAUGGAAGAGGGAGGAUGAAGAUGAUGAACAGGGGGAGGAAGAGGAGGAGCUGGAAGACGCCAGCCCGGAAUCAUCCACCAACAACAAGCCUCUGACCGCCGGAGUGGGAAUGAUGGAGGCGGAGGAGGGCGGCGCUGCUCACAGCAACAUGGCGGACAACAAAGCUCACGGUUCAGGCAGCAACGACCCGCACGGCCCCUUCCCGGACUACCGAGCCGGCUACGGGAGCAGGGGAUACGGGGCCACGAUGAGUCCCGGAGGUAGUCUGACGGGUCCCGGCGGCUCUGCUAAAGCAGCUGUGCUAGCUAGCGGCGGCAACGACGGGGGGUUGCAGCGGUUUCCCGGUCGGCAGCAGCUCCCCUCCGGGGCCACACCGACUCUGAAUCAGCUGUUGACGUCCCCGAGUCCGGUGAUGCGAGGCUACAGAGCUGGAUACCCGGAUUACAACAACCCUCCUGCGCAGCUACAGGCUAGCACGGGGCUAGCUGAGGAGACGAGCUCGGCUGCGCACGGAUGGGAAGGACAACAGGGAAGUCUCCCGACCACGAGCACGGGGGACACCCGUCGUAAACUCGUCUGACUACCGGUAAUCAGAGAAAGUCAUCUUACUGCAGCUAACAUGCUAACUCAGCCAGUUAGCCGCUAUGCUAGCCGAGAUAAGUUAGCCGAUUGGCUAGGUGGGGUACUUUAUCCGUUUCCACUGCAGACAGUUAAGUUACUUAUUCACACACCCAGUCAUUCUUACGACCAUAGUGUAAAUAAGUAGACGGCCGUUCAUUCAACCGCAAAUAACUGCCGUGAAAGUCAAAGUCAUUGUUUCGAUUCCGUGUCCAAGGUGACACCGUUGUUAGCAUGCUAAGGUAAUGUAAGCUACUGUUGCACAGGUGUUCCGGUGUGGGGGCUUUUGUUGUGAAGGGGGAGAGGAAGUUGGUGUGGUGUUGAACUGGGGCUGUUGAAAGAAGGAAGGAGGAAUAAAUGUUCUGCGCCGGUUCGGCUUUUAUUAUCUACACAAAUUAUAGGG
ensembl:lncRNA